AAUCUACUCGGCUCCUCUUCCACGCUGUGGAGGCUUUGUUCUUUCCUUCUUCACAAUAGAUCUUGCUGCUGCUCACUCUGUGGGUCCGCACUACAUUUAUGAGCUGUAACACUCACUGCGAAGGUCUGCAGCUUCACUUCUGAAGUCAGCAAGACCACGAACCCACCGGGAAGAAAAAACAACUCCAGACGCACCACCUUUAAGAGCUAUAACGCUCACUGCGAAGGUCUGCGGCUUCACUCCUGAAGUCAAGCGAACCCACUGGAAGGAAGAAACUCAGGAACAUCUGAAGGAACAAGCUCCAGACACACCAUCUUUAAGAACUGUAACACUCACCACGAGGGUCCGUGACUUCAUUCUUGAAGUCAGCGAGACCAAGAACCCACUGGAAGGAACAAUUCCGGACACACUGAAAAGGCAAGUGACACACAGAAGGGAAGCAACUUAUCCAAGAUCUCAAUUGUUAGUGGAAGAAGCUGGCUGUCAACCGAAGUCAGUGUGAGAUGACCUCAGUGCUUUCUUAUCCAGGUCAGGAAACACUGGGAGAUUGAAUUUAAAUUUGAAGGUUGUUUGGUAAAUAUGGAAUCAGAGAAAUCAAAAUCACAUGGCCUCAAAAGAUGAUACUUUUGUCAAGCUAUGAAGCCUGGUGAGUCAUUCCUCUCCACUAAGGGGUUAUGUCUGCCAAUGUAAUCACAUAUUUAUAGACCCUUGUCAAGUUACAUUCUUUCUUUUGAAUGCCACACUCCUGAAACACAUUCAUUCUAACCCUGCUUUUUGUUUUUCUGGAUUCCACAAAAAUCUAUUAUUUGUAUUUAUCGCCAUGUUCCACAUUUUAAUUUAAUCUUUAUCAUUUUUUUCCUACCAAUCUGCAGAAUAUUCUCCCAAAUAAGUUGUUAAUUUUAAUGUUUAGCUUAGGACCUUUCUUGUCUCACCUAUCCUGCUGACAUUCUCAGACUCUUCAAUAUCUCAUUCAAUUUGAUACACAACAAUCACAGGUAAGGCAAUGGAUUUAGGGCUAAGUGGAUACAAACAUUUAUAAGAUAUGGCCCUUGCUUUCAUCAGGUAGUAUCAAAGAUUACAUUGAUGCACCUGUAAGAAACUAGAGUAGGGUGGUCACAUGCAUGGGCUCUGAAACCAAACUGCUUGGAUAUACCUGCCUUGACAUUUGCUAGCCGUGUGAUCUUGAGCAAAACUAACUCAACUCCUGUGUGACUAUUUCCUCAUUAUAAAAGAAGAAUGUUAAUAACAGUUUCCACUUUUUAGGAUUGUAGUGAUAAUUAGAUGAGUUAAUAUAGCUACAUUUCUUAGAACUGUCCCUGGUAAACAAAGCUCAGUGUAUUUGCUAUUAUUAUACACUUCUUUCUCAACUUUAAAAACCUUUGUAUUUACUUCUUUUCAAUUACCCAUAGGUGCACAGACACCUUGUAAAUUAUCAUCAUGUAAGGGGUCUUCUUGUCACCUUGUUCUCCUACUCUGCUAACCAUGGAGAUGUGGAUGGGCAAUAAUUCUUCCUUAUGUUCAUUCUUUCAUUCACUCAACAAUUAUUUAUUGUCUACUCUGUGCUAGGCUCUUUUAACAUUGAAGAUAUAAAGAUAAACAAGAUAGACAUAAAGUGUCUGGCCUCAUGAAGUUCUGCUAGAAGAGAGAAGCAUAUACAAAUAAAAUAAUAAAAAGGUAGUUAAAAAUGUGAUACCAGAUCUGUGAAGAAAAUGAAAGGGAUAUUGUGUUAAUAAAUUGCAGUAGGAAGAUCAUUCUUGAAUGAUCCAGACACAUCAUGAGCUUUUCAUCCUGACGAGAUUAGUGAAAAAGCCCAAGAAAGAAGAUGACCAAGAAGGAAACAAAAAGGGUUUGAUGUUUUAAGGAACAGAAUGAAGCCCUGUGAAUGAUAUAAAAUGAGAUGGGAGACCAGGCAAGAAAUCUACUUAUGUGAGUAAAUGGAGAUCAUGGUUUGGAGUUUGGAUUUUACUCUAACCAAAACAGGAAUUCAUUAAAAUUGGAUAUCCAUAAGCAGAAGAAGGAAACAGGGCUCCUACCUCUCAUCACAUACAAAAAAUCAAAUAAAAAGGGACGGAAGACUUAAAUAUAAGACCCAAAACUAUGAAACUACUAGAAGAAAACAUAAGGGAAACACUUCAGGCCAUUGGUCAGGGGAAAGCUUUUAUGAAGAAGACCUCAAAAACACAGAAAACAAAAAUAGACAAAUGAGAUUAUAUCAAACUGAAAAGCUUCUGCACAACAAAGGAAAUAAUCAACAAAGUGAAGAGACAACACACAGAAUGGGAGAAAACAUUUGCAAACUAUUCAUCCGACAGGGGUUAAAAACCAGACUAUACAAGAAACAAACAACUCAACAGCAAAAAUAAAUAAAUAAUAAUAAUAAUAAUAAUCUUGCCUGUAAUCCCGGCACUUUUGGAGGCCAAGGUGGGCGGAUCACGAGGUCAGGAGAUCAAGACCAUCCUGACUAACGCGGUGAAACCCCGUCUCUACUAAAAAAAAAAAAAAUGCAAAAAAUUAGCCCGGCGUAGUGGCAGGCGCCUGUAGUCCCAGCUACUCGGGAGGCUGAGGCAGGAGAAUGGCGUGAACCCAGGAGGCGGAGCUUGCAGUGAGCGGAGAUCGCGCCACUGCACUCCAGCCUGGGCGACAAAGCGAGACUCCGUCUCAAAAUACUAAUAAUAAUAAUAUCAUCAUCAUCAUCUUAUUUUAAAGUGAGCAAAUAAGCUGAACAGACAUUUCUCAUAAAAAGCGAUACAGAUGGCCAAGAAGCCCAUGAAAAAAUGUGCUACAUUAUGAAUCAUCAGGAAAAUGCAAAUCAAAACCACAAUGAGAUGUUAUUUCAUCCCCAUUUGAACGGCUAUAAUCAAAAAGACCAAAAAAUAACAAAUGCUGGUAAGGAUGUGGAGAAAAGGGAACUCUUACAUAUUGUUGGUGGGAAUGUAAAUUAGUUCAUCUAUUAUGAAAAAUGGUAUGAAGGUUCUUCAAAAAACUAAAAACAGAACUAACAUGUGAUCCAGCAAUCCUGUUACUGGGUAUGUAUCCAAAAAAAAAAAAAAAAAGGGACAUAAGUAUGUCAAAGACAUAUCGCUACUCCUGUGUUGAUUGCAGCACUAUUUGCAAUAGCCAAGAUAUGGAAACAAUCUAAGUGUCCAUCAAUGGAUGAAUAGAUAAAGAAUAGUGAAAUAUAUAGACACAAUGGAAUACUAUUCAGCCAUAAAGAACAAAAUCCUGUCACUUGAAGGAACAAGAAUGAGCUUGGAGGACAUUAAGUGAAAUAAACUGACUAAAAAUAAUAAUAAAAGCAAAAAAGAAAGACAUACCACACAUUCUCAUUCAUGUGGAUUAUAACAGCUGAUCUCAUAAAAGUUAAGAGUAGAAUAGUAAAGAGUAGAAUAGAUUACUAGAGGCUGGGAAGGAUAGUGGGGAGAGGGCAUAAGCAGAAAUUUAUUAACGGAUGCAAAAUUGCAGCUAAAUAGGAUUAAGUUCUAUUACAGUCACCCUACAGUGUUUUAUAGCACUGUAAGAUGACUAUAAUGAACAAUUUACUAUAUAUUUUCAAAUAGCCAGAAAAUCGGAUUUUGAAUGUUCUCAACACAAAGAAAUAAUAAAUGUUUGGAUGGAUAUGCUAAUUACCCUAAUUUGAUCAUUACACAUUGUAUACAUGUAUCAAAAUACUACACUGUACCCCCAUAAGUAUGUACAAUUGUUCUGUGUCAACUAAAAAUAAUAAUAAAAGCAAAAAAGAAUUCCUCAAAAAAAAAAAAACCACAAACAGGAAUCCAUUGAAGGGGUCUAAAUAUGGUCUCUGGGCCAGGAGGUGAACAGACUGCGGGGAGAAAAGUGAAAGUAGGAGUACCAACAGGAGGCCACUGCCAUUGUGAAGGCCAUGUAGAGGAGACAGGUGGACAAUUUAAGAUGUAUUCUUGAGGUAAAGCAGACAGUGCACCUUUCAAGUAAAUGCGUGAGCACCAUGAUGCUGAGAAGCUAUUUUCCCAGUGAACCAGGAAGUGAGGUAGGUAGAUGAGUCACCCAAGCGGGUGGGGAAGGAGGUGGUUGAAAUUGAUUUGUAUAUUUAUUUUAUAAAGUAAAUGAAUUAAGAGAAAAAAAUUGGAUCCUGAAUCUGAACUUAUUUACAAAUUAUUAUACCUUACCAAAAAGGUCUUUUAUGGACAAUACUAUAAAGACGGUAAUGUUUACUUUUAGCAUUACCAUCCACACCUUUAAAAUUAUUAAUAAUUUGUGAGAGUUUGCUGUAUACUAAGUACCCU
rnacentral:lncRNA from 1 species